ACUAUCUUAUUUUAAGCUUAAGUGUGUAUUGACAGGUGGUGGAACAAAUAUGAGUUUUUGAACAUUAGUCAAACAAAAUUAAACUCAUAUUAGUUCUACCUCCUGCUGAAGCCCACAUUAAUCUGAAUAAGAUUUG